rnacentral:rRNA from 1 species
GGUAGUAACAGAGGGUUUCGAUUCUGGCUCAGAUUCGAACGCUGGCGGGAUGCUACGCUGCAAGUCGAACGGCAGCACGGACUUCGGUCUGGUGGCGAGUGGCGAACGGGUGAGUAAUGUAUCGGAACGUGCCUAGUAGCGGGGGAUAACUACGCGAAAGCGUAGCUAAUACCGCAUACGCCCUUCGGGGAAAGCGGGGACCUUCGGGCCUCGCACUAUUGAGCAGCCGAUAUCGAGUUAGCUAGUUGGUGGGGGUAACGGCUCACCAAGGCGACGAUCCGUAGCUGGUUUGAGAGGACGACCAGCCACACUGGGACUGAGACACGGCCCAGACUCCUACGGGAGGCAGCAGUGGGGGAAUUUUUGGACAAUGGAAACCCUGAUCCAGCCAUCCCGCGUGUGCGAUUGAGGCCUUCGGGUUGUAAAGCACUUUUGGCGGGAAAGAAACAGCACGGGAUAAUACCCCGUGCAACUGACGAAAACACCUGCAGAAUAAGCACCGGCUAACUACGUGCCGGCAGCCGCGGUAAUACGUAGGGUGCAAGCGACAAUCGGAAUUACUGGGCAAAGCAUUGCGCAGGCGGUUCGGAAAGAAAGAUGUGAAAUCCCAGAGCUUAACUUUGGAACUGCAUUUUUAACUACCGAGCUAGAGUGUGUCAGAGGGAGGUGGAAUUCCGCGUGUAGCAGUGAAAUGCGUAGAUAUGCGGAGGAACACCGAUGGCGAAGGCAGCCUCCUGGGGAUAACACUGACGCUCAUGCACGAAAGCGUGGGGAGCAAACGGGAUUAGAUACCCUGGUAGUCCACGCCCUAAACGAUGUCAACUAGCUGUUGGGGCCUUCGGGCCUUGGUAGCGCAGCUAACGCGUGAAGUUGACCGCCUGGGAGUACGGUCGCAAGAUUAAAACUCAAAGGAAUUGACGGGGACCCGCACAAGCGGUGGAUGAUGUGGAUUAAUUCGAUGCAACGCGAAAAACCUUACCUACCCUUGACAUGUCUGGAAUCCCGAAGAGAUUUGGGAGUGCUCGCAAGAGAACCGGAACACAGGUGCUGCAUGGCUGUCGUCAGCUCGUGUCGUGAGAUGUUGGGUUAAGUCCGCAACAGGCGCAACCCUUGUCAUUGGAUUGCUACGAAGGGCAUAAUGCCAAGGACUGCCGGUGACAAACCGGAGGAAGGUGGGGAUGACGUCAAGUCCUCAUGGCCCUUAUGGGUAGGGCUUCACACGUCAUACAAUGGUCGGGACAGAGGGUCGCCAACCCGCGAGGGGAGCCAAUCCCAGAAACUCGAUCGUAGUCGGAUCGCAGUCUGCAACUCGACUGCGUGAAGUCGGAAUCGCUAGUAAUCGCGGAUCAGCAUGUCGCAGUGAAUACGUUCCCGGGUCUUAUACACCGCCCGUCACACCAUGGGAGUGGGUUUUACCAGAAGUAGUUAGCCUAACCGUAAGGAGGGCGGUGGGAUUCAUGACUGAGGGUGAAGUCGUAACAAGGUAG